UGGCACGUGGGUGGGACACGGCGGGCGAUGGUCGCCCCUCCGUGAGCCCGAUGGUGAAUCUUGUCCGAGGUGCCGCCAGCGAGGUCGAGCCCACCGGGUGGUUCCCCGUUGGGGGAGGCCCAGUGAGCGCCCGUCAGCUGGCGGUGGUG